UGCAGAGAAAUAACAAGAAAGAAGCACAGACAGAAACACAGAUUCAGAGAAAACAAGAAUUAUAAAAAGAGGUACAAAGGGUUACCGAGAGAGUUUGAGAAAAAGGAUUAGAGGUCGAACAGAACACAGAGGAAACAAUUUGGGGGACAGAGGCAGGCAGACAGACUUAUGAAAUCGGUGUUCUGCGAGAUGCUAGCUGAGUCCCCUACAAUGAUGAUCAGGCCGUCCUGGACUGAGCCGGCCUGGAUUAAGAACCCAAGAGAAACCACAAAGGUUCAUUGUUUUGUUUGUGCGGAGUUUUGGCUCCAGGCAACCUCCGCGCCGGCGUUCUGACACACUGCCUGAGCUCCCCCUGCUGGCCGCUCUGCAGAAUUUCACCAUCUGGGUCCAAGCGGAAUCGGAUUACCUCCCACAGCACCUUGCAGAGGCUAAGCCCAUGAGAGCCCUUGGUCAAUACUUGCGAAAAGUGGAGGGAGGAAGAAAUAGAUGAGCACACAACUGAAAAGGCCUAGUGAAGUACCCUGGGAUGACUGAAGCCAUGCCAGGCAUUUGCUCCAACCACUUUGGAAAAGACAGUUCCAGAAUCAUCCUCAGCCCUGGCUGGCACAGCAGUGCCCUCAUUUGUAUGCUGCCGCUUUGUCUCUCGAAGGGCAUUCUGCAACGCCAUUCCUCACCGCUCCCCACCGCGCUCAACAGCUAUGCAGAUGGGGUUUCAAUCCUCUCCUGCACAUUUCAUUUUUCCGGCUGUAUGUCUUGCCGUGUGCUCACUAAGUCACCUCUAAACGCCAGCAAUCUUUGACUGCCGUGGGUGCCGAGCCAGACUGUGCAGCCCAGCCCUUCCUGGAGCACCCCAGCCCUUUCUGGUAUGGAUUUAUUUCAUACAUGAUGUGGAUGCUUUGCCCAGAGUGGAGCAAGAGCAGUUUUCCUUUACAAA